AUGGAAGUGAAAUAUGUACAUAUGAAUGAUGAUGGUUGAUGAGUAAAGCGGUACCGCCAAACCCAUCGGAUCUGUCCUCUCUUAUACAGGUAUAGCCAGGAAUCUUAAAAAGAGAAUCUGGCUUGAGCCAUGUUUCUUGAAGAGCAAAGACAAUUGGGCAAUUCUUACUAGUAGCUAUAUGGGAAGCUUGGCAUAAACAACAAAACACAGAAUCCUCAUCUACUGAACAUUUGUCACCCGAGUGACUCUGACCACAACGAAAACAUCUGGGAGUCGAUCUGCACUGUGACUUAACAUGCCCAUACCUACAGCAAUUGUAACACUGUAUGGUAGGGUAAAUGUAUAAGUCAACAGGCAAAGAGUUAUAGCAUAUAAAAAUUCUUUUAGGUAAUGUUUGGCCAUCAAAUGUAAAAACUACUGACUCAGUAUUAACAAACUGUGCAGUAUUAUUUA